rnacentral:ncRNA from 2 species
CAUGCUAGAAUUCAUCACUGUUGUAUAACCUCAAUAAUAUGGUUUGAGGGUCUCUACCAGGAACCGAUAAUUCCUGAUUACAAAAAUGUUACGCAUUUCA